AACGAACGCUGGCGGCAGGCUUAACACAUGCAAGUCGAACGCCCCGCAAGGGGAGUGGCAGACGGGUGAGUAACGCGAGGGAAUCUACCCAGUUCUGCGGAACAACAGUUGGAAACGACUGCUAAUACCGCAUACGCCCUACGGGGGAAAGAUUUAUCGGAAUUGGAUGAGCCCGCGUAAGAUUAGCUAGUUGGUGGGGUAAUGGCCUACCAAGGCGACGAUCUUUAGCUGGUCUAAGAGGAUGAUCAGCCACACUGGGACUGAGACACGGCCCAGACUCCUACGGGAGGCAGCAGUGGGGAAUAUUGGACAAUGGGCGCAAGCCUGAUCCAGCCAUGCCGCGUGAGUGAUGAAGGCCUUAGGGUUGUAAAGCUCUUUCACCAGGGAUGAUAAUGACAGUACCUGGAGAAUAAGCUCCGGCUAACUCCGUGCCAGCCGCCGCGGUAACAC
rnacentral:rRNA from 1 species